rnacentral:ncRNA from 1 species
AACUCCGGAGAGGCCAAGAAAAGGGCGCCGAAGGUGUAAGCCGCGAAAAAAAGCGGUGAUCUCUCAGGCAAAAGGACGGAGCGG